AGCGAACGCUGGCGGCAUGCCUAACACAUGCAAGUCGCACGGGGGGGCUUCGGCCUCCCAGUGGCGGACGGGUGAGGAACGCGUAGGGACCUGUCGAGGGGUGGGGGAUAACCGCGGGAAACUGCCGCUAAUACCGCAUGACGCCGCGGCGUGACAGCCGGGGCCAAAGGCGAAAGCCGCCCGCCGAGGGGCCUGCGUCCGAUUAGCUGGUUGGCGGGGUAGCGGCCCACCAAGGCGUCGAUCGGUAGCUGGUCUGAGAGGGUGAUCAGCCACACCGGGACUGAGACACGGCCCGGACUCCUACGGGAGGCAGCAGUGGGGAAUAUUGGACAAUGGGCGCAAGCCUGAUCCAGCAAUGCCGCGUGGGUGAAGAAGGUCUUCGGAUUGUAAAGCCCUUUCGGCGGGGACGAUGGUGACGGUACCCGCAGAAGAAGCCCCGGCUAACUUCGUG
rnacentral:rRNA from 1 species